rnacentral:rRNA from 1 species
ANAGUUUGAUUAUGGCUCAGAUUGAACGCUGGCGGCAGGCCUAACACAUGCAAGUCGAGCGAGAAAGGUCUUCGGACUGAGUACAGCGGCGGACGGGUGAGUAACGCGUAGGAAUCUACCUGGUAGUGGGGGACAACAUGGUGAAAACCAUGCUAAUACCGCAUACGCCCUAAGGGGGAAAGCGGGGGAUCUUCGGACCUCGCGCUAUUGGAUGAGCCUGCGUAAGAUUAGCUAGUUGGUGGGGUAAAAGCUCACCAAGGCGACGAUCUUUAGCUGGUCUGAGAGGAUGAUCAGCCACACUGGAACUGGGACACGGUCCAGACUCCUACGGGAGGCAGCAGUGGGGAAUAUUGCGCAAUGGGCGAAAGCCUGACGCAGCCAUGCCGCGUGUGUGAAGAAGGCCUUAGGGUUGUAAAGCACUUUCAAUUGGGAAGAAAGGUUGUACGUUAAUAGCGUGCAGCUGUGACAUUACCUUUAGAAGAAGCACCGGCUAACUCCGUGCCAGCAGCCGCGGUAAUACGGAGGGUGCAAGCGUUAAUCGGAAUUACUGGGCGUAAAGCGCGCGUAGGCGGUUUGUUAAGUCGGAUGUGAAAGCCCUGGGCUCAACCUGGGAACUGCAUUCGAUACUGAUCGACUAGAGUACGAGAGAGGGAGGUAGAAUUCCACGUGUAGCGGUGAAAUGCGUAGAUAUGUGGAGGAAUACCGGUGGCGAAGGCGGCCUCCUGGCUCGA